rnacentral:rRNA from 1 species
CGGGCUCUUUUCGUUUGCCGGGUGGGAAAAAAUCCGAGGGCUCAGGGCUCGUUCCCAAUAGAGUUUUCUUUUUUUCAGGGCUCGCUCCCAAUCCAGAGGACGGGCGCACGUGCGGCGGUGGUACGAAAACGAGCUUUAGGGACCAUAAGAGUACCGAGUGGGAACUGGGGCCGAGACCAAAAGGAGUAUGGUCGGCGGCCGCUGGCCUGAGCGAAGGAAGGAGGCUGGACACCUAGCCGAGGUGGCAGGGGUCUUAGGGGUGAGGGAAGCGACUGAGGACGAGGUUGUGACUACGCGACUGCGGCGGCGGAGGACCAGCCGUACGUGCCGGCGUGCGGGUCGUCAAUGGCACCGGCUACUACCUUGUCGGGGCUCUGGGAGGAACACAACGUCACGAACCUCUUCUCCGUUCCGCGGAUCCCUCAGGACUCUUCUGCGGGAGCGGCGGCUGGAACUCCAUGUCCAGACAGAGGUACUCGAGCUCCUUCGGUACCGGCUACGUAGGUCGACGCCUACGGCGUAGAAACACCGGCGGUGGGAGGGAGUGGCGGGAUGUGUUGGCCGAGGAGCCAGUGGAGCAGCGGCGGCCGCUGGAAGUCAAAACACUUGAGGUAAACGUCUCCAUCGAAUUCACGUUAAAGUAAAGUCCCUCUCAACCGUGUAUAAAGAGGAAAAUCCGACUGUGAAGUCUGAAGUCAUGUGUAGUUAUACAUGACUUCAUGUUGAAGUCCAAAAUCAAUGCCAAAUACGUGUAACGGUACAAGAUUUGAACACUAGGUACCUCUGUAUCGUACAAAACAUGUUUUUAUUUAGUAGCAUUAGAUUAGAGUACGUUGAAAUACAUGAUAAGAAACAACAUGACUCUUCGACGUUUCGGGUUCGGAGCACAUUUAUAUCCUCCCGUAGAGUCUUCUAUACCCCACUUACUAGAUGUAUUAAAAACCCUACGUCAUUUAGAUUUAGAAUGGAGAGGGAAUCGGUAAACGCUAGACGGGGGGGGACGUAUCUAUUCAUGUACCACAAAUGGUAUUAAAUGUAAACAGAAAUAUCAUGAGGAGGAUUUACAAAUAACAACUCACAGAGUAAAGGUCGUAUAAUCAUCUCCUCGUACGUUCAAACCUAUCGAUUCAAACAACUACCCUAAGUAACACGACCAAUUUCAGUAUUAUAUAGUCGUCCAUACCGUACCCUAAGUAACAAGACCAUUCUACUCUCAUCUAGUAACAUAUGUAAAGUGGUAUAACCUAAUAAAACACGGCUUAAGCAAUCAGUCCAUGGAAGAAAGAGAAUUCGGUAGAAGUAGAUGCACAAAAUAUAUAAAUGUUGAAGGUUAAAUUAUCAUCUCUAAAUUAGAGUUAUGAACGAACGUACCACAUUCUUACAUCUUCAUACAAAAUAAAACCGAGGAUGGACAUCAGAUGUUGACCCACAAGGUUCUUAAACAAAAAGUGUACCGGAAGAAAAGAUGGAGAAGUACCCGCUAGGAGUAAUAAACAAGGAACUAAGAGAUACGUUCUUAGAACGGAGUACCAGCUUUUGUAUACCAGUGUAUAAAAGAGGUCCCCUAAUUAAAAUCAGUCUCGGCCAGCUAUUUACUAGCCGGUUAAUCAUAUUAAAAGAUCGAAUUAUGUACAGUACAUUCAUACAAAAGGAAUUACACUAUCCAUUACAUUUAAAACACCCAGAGAGUCAACGAUACUCGGAUGAUGUCAAUUAACCUUUCGUACUAAGGCUACCUUUACGUUGUCUUUGUCUUGGACUUUAUAAUCAAUUAACCUAUCGUACCAGGGCUGCCUUUACGUUUACUUUGUCUUGGACCUUAUUAUUAAUUUUAACCUAUCGUACUAAGGCUACCUUUACGUUUUCUUUGUCUUGGUUAUUAUUCUAUCUAUUCUACACUGACUGUGACCUCAUCCCUCGUGUGCUGCCGGCAGCAAGCGCGCCGGCUGUGGCUGUGACCACAUCUGUCAUCCGGUGACUUCUAGUACAACCGCUACAUCAUAAAGGUACUCGUACGUAGUUUAUAGUUUAGAGAAAUGGUCAGAGAAGGCAACAGGUGUACCGAGGGGAAAAAUACAUGGUGGUGGAGUUGAACCAUCCUGAACUCUAAAUGAAACCACAGAUGGGGCACGUCCUCUACUGAAACAGCAUGGACUGCACGCCUUUACGCUACCACAGAUGGAACUUCGAACUUCUCAAGUACUCCUUCAGAACGAUCGUAGAUCUCAACCUACGGGAGUACUUCUGAUGACAGUCAGUUAAAAGUACUGACAAGUGUGGCAACUACAACACUCCUGACCGUCGAGAAGUCAAGUGUGGCGGUUACAACACUCCUCACCGUCCUGAAGUUACCCGUACCUCCGACGUUGGAUCCCGCUCCCGCACCACGCAACUCUACCGCCUCGACGCAACCACCCUCCGCCGCUACCGCCGCCGUUGCGGUUACAGGUGUCCCUAGAGAAUCGGCGUUGUCUAGCUUCUUGUUGAACCCCUACAGCACGUCGAGGACGCACAUCAUCUAUUUAACGGCGGGUCUAUUUAGUGGCCCUGUGAUGGUUCACACAGCAAGUAACCCGGUCCUAUUUUUUAGAACUCCCACGGAGUACACGCUGAGAUCGAUAACUUUCAGUUUCUUGAACUGAUGAAGGCCUCAAACUAUUCCGAAAUAUCACUCAAGAGUAUGAAAAUGACGACAACAAUAAUUCGUCUAAAACAGUUUCGUUAACGAUACACAUACGGUAAAAGUACAAGAUAUGCACCGACAAAAAGAUACAAGAUCUGUACCUAUAUUACUAACCAGCUACUUCGUUAACUAAAUAUUAUGAUC